GAUGAACGCUGGCGGCGUGCCUAAUACAUGCAAGUCGAGCGAACGGACGAGAAGCUUGCUUCUCUGAUGUUAGCGGCGGACGGGUGAGUAACACGUGGAUAACCUACCUAUAAGACUGGGAUAACUUCGGGAAACCGGAGCUAAUACCGGAUAAUAUUUUGAACCGCAUGGUUCAAAAGUGAAAGACGGUCUUGCUGUCACUUAUAGAUGGAUCCGCGCUGCAUUAGCUAGUUGGUAAGGUAACGGCUUACCAAGGCAACGAUGCAUAGCCGACCUGAGAGGGUGAUCGGCCACACUGGAACUGAGAAACGGUCCAGACUCCUACGGGAGGCAGCAGUAGGGAAUCUGCCGCAAUGGGCGAAAGCCCGACGGAGCAACGCCGCGGGGGUGAUGAAGGUCUUCGGAUCGUAAAACUAUGUUAUUAGGGAAGAACAUAUGUGUAAGUAACUGUGCAAAUUUUGACGGUACCUAAUCAAAAAGCCCCGGCUAACUACGG
rnacentral:rRNA from 1 species